UCCUCUUGCCUCUGUGUUGUGUAUCUCUCUCCCGACCCCUAUAAAUAUCUCGUGGUACUCGGGAAGUUCGUCAAGGAAGAACAAGAGAUGCCAGUCUCAUUGUAUAUAAUACUACUAGUUAUAGAGAGUGAGUGACAACUAGUAGCUAGCAGUUGUUUGAUAUAAUAUGAUAAACAGGCUGCAGGUCAUACAGGCAAUAUUAUGCAUGCCAAUAUGUUGCCUUUAUCUGCAUUUGCACCUGCAUCUUUUGCGUUUGUUUUGUUUUUGACUCCACAAACAAAAUCAAGUUCUGUCGAUACAGUAUGUGGGACAAUUAGAUAUGGAAACUAAUAAGCUUAGUUGAGGUGCAGGUGCAAGUGCAGGUGAAUGCCAUUUUGCCACAAUUCAAUGGAUGUGGAAGAAUAUUUCAAGGGUUUUCCAGUAAUCUUUGAAUUAAGUACUUGGAGGACAGAUCAUCCAUGAUCAAUACGCAAGGCGCCUGUGCUAGAUAUGUAGAUCUCUUGAUCUUCCAUUUGAAGCUAGGGUUUUCAAGCUAAUAUAUAUAGAAAGUACAUUCCCUCUCUGCAUCCCUCCCUCCCUCCCUCUCUCUCACUGUCUCCCUCUCUCUCUCACACAGGCAGUACCAUUGCCAAAUAGGAGGAACAUCCAUUCUAAGUUCUAAUGUUGACAUUGGUUGUUCUACAGUUAAAAAUCUCCAUGAUUGGAAGAAAAGUCGAGCACAAAUAUUUAUGAUUU